CUGAGUUUGAUCCUGGCUCAGGACGAACGCUGGCGGCGUGCUUAACACAUGCAAGUCGAGCGAUGAAGCUUCCUUCGGGAAGUGGAUUAGCGGCGGACGGGUGAGUAACACGUGGGUAACCUGCCUCAAAGUGGGGGAUAGCCUUCCGAAAGGAAGAUUAAUACCGCAUAAUAUAAGAGAAUCGCAUGAUUUUCUUAUCAAAGAUUUAUUGCUUUGAGAUGGACCCGCGGCGCAUUAGCUAGUUGGUAAGGUAAUGGCUUACCAAGGCAACGAUGCGUAGCCGACCUGAGAGGGUGAUCGGCCACAUUGGAACUGAGACACGGUCCAGACUCCUACGGGAGGCAGCAGUGGGGAAUAUUGCGCAAUGGGGGAAACCCUGACGCAGCAACGCCGCGUGGGUGAUGAAGGUCUUCGGAUUGUAAAGCCCUGUUUU
rnacentral:rRNA from 1 species